AUGAUUUCGCAGAAUCAUCUGAUCUGGCUUCUAGUACUCUGGAUUCAGGAUGCCAAGGGACAGACUGUGAUGACUCAGACACCAGAAUCCUUAGCAGUGUCUCCUGGAGACACAGUCACUAUCCGCUGCAAAGCCAGUUCCAGUGUUAGCAACUACAUGGCCUGGUACCAACAGAAAUCAGGACAAGCUCCUAAACUCCUCAUCCACAGCGCCUCCACCCGUCCCUCUGGGAUCCCAGACCGGUUCAGUGGCAGUGGGUCUGGCACCGACUUCACAUUCACCAUCAGCCGGGUAGAAGCUGAUGAUGCUGGAGAUUAUUACUGCUAUAGGAACUGAUCACUGUGGUGGACGUUCGGUAAAGGAACCAACGUAGAAAUAAAACUUGGAGGCCCUGUCAAACCAACCGUGUCCAUCUUCCCGCCAUCGGCUGACCAGCUGAAGGGGGGCACUGCCACCGUGGUGUGCCUGGUGAAUGGCUUCUACCCCGGUGGCUUAAAUGUGGCCUGGAAAAAGGACACAACCACCGCCACGACUGGUGUCCUCACCAGCACGAAGCAGCAAGAUCCUUCUGAUCACAAGUACAGUCUGAGCAGCACCCUGACGCUCACAAAAGCUGAGUACGAUUCAUAUCAGACCUACACAUGUGAGGUGACACACGAAACGGGCGCUAUCGUCAAGAGUAUCAAGAGAUCAGAGUGUUCGCAGUAGGAGGCUCCCUAGGGACAGGUCCCUGCCUCCUCUUUGCAGCCUUUCUUAUGCUUUGUUCAUGUAACUAUCAGUCUUACCAACUAUUUCCUCCCAAAAAUAUUAUGAUGGAGAUCUUCCAGAUCUCACCCUCCUGCCUGACCCCUUGCUAACAGCACUGGCUCCAGGCCCUGUCUGACUUUUCCCUGCCGCCUAAUGAGGUUUCCUGCUUUUAUCAUGUUUCAUCUUUGGAAAAUGAAUAAAUAAAUAAAUGAAA